GACGAACGCUGGCGGCGUGCUUAACACAUGCAAGUCGAACGGAAAGGCCCUGCUUUUGUGGGGUGCUCGAGUGGCGAACGGGGGAGUAAAACGUGAGUAACCUGCCCUUGACUUUGGGAUAACUUCAGGAAACUGGGGAUAAUACCGGAUAGGAGCUCCUGCUGCAUGGUGGGGGUUGGAAAGUGUCGGCGGUGGGGGAUGGACUGGCGGCUUAUCAGCUUGUUGGUGGGGUAGUGGUUUACAAAGGCUUUGACGGGUAGGCGGCCUGGGAGGGUGACCGGCGACAUUGGGACUGAGAUACGGCGCAGACGCCUACGUGCGGCAGCAGUGGGGAAUAUUGCACAACGGGGGGAAGCCUGAUGCAGCAACGCCGCGUGCGUGAUGACGGCCUUCGGGUUGUAAACCUCUUUCGCCUGUGACGAAGCGUGAGUGACGGUAAUGGGUAAAGAAGCACCGGCUAACUACGUG
rnacentral:rRNA from 1 species